rnacentral:rRNA from 1 species
UUGAUCCUGGCUCAGAAUCAACGCUGGCGGCGUGCCUAACACAUGCAAGUCGAACGCGAAAACCCCGAAAGGGGUGAGUAGAGUGGCAAACGGGUGAGUUACACGUGGGUGACCUGCCUUCGAGUGGGGGAUAACGUCCCGAAAGGGACUCUAAUACCGCAUAAUAUCCUGCCUUUGAAGAGGUGGCGAUCAAAGCUGGUGACCGCAAGGCCCAGCGCUCAAAGAGGGGCCCGCGCCUGAUUAGCUAGUUGGUGGGGUAAUGGCUCACCAAGGCAACGAUCAGUAUCCGGCCUGAGAGGUCGGACGGACACACUGGGACUGAGACACGGCCCAGACUCCUACGGGAGGCUGCAGUGGGGAAUUGUUCGCAAUGGGCGCAAGCCUGACGACGCAACGCCGUGUGGAGGAUGAAGACCUUCGGGUCGUAAACUCCUUUCGAUCGAGACGAAUGGCCCUAGGGUUAACAGCCUUGGGGAAUGACGGUACCGAGAGAAGAAGCUCCGGCUAACUCCGUGCCAGCAGCCGCGGUAAUAAGGU